GGAGCAGGCCUUUCAGGCAUCCUCUCCCAAAACUUCCAAGGCCGGCCGGGCAACUGGCUGGCCAUUUUUUUGGUCCUG
rnacentral:sRNA from 1 species